UUGCCCAUCGGGGCCUCGGAUACCUGCUCGCUUUUU
rnacentral:ncRNA from 1 species